AGAACAUAAACCUAGAGAGGUUGACUUGGAAAUGGUAGGAUGUGCACAUCCAGUGAGCUUGGUGAUCUUGGAAUCAGAGCUUGGGCGCGUGCGACGAUUUCGCCGCCGGAGGCUUGAGCCAUUGUUCGGCGUGUGCGACGAUUUCGCCGCCAGAUGGCUAAGCCAGGUAAAGGAUUACGCCGUCGUUGACUUGAGCCAUUGUUCGGCGUGUGCGACGAUUUCGCCGCCAGGUG
rnacentral:lncRNA from 1 species